GACGAACGCUGGCGGCGUGCUUAACACAUGCAAGUCGAACGGAAAGGCCCUGCUUUUGUGGGGUGCUCGAGUGGCGAACGGGUGAGUAACACGUGAGUAACCUGCCCUUGACUUUGGGAUAACUUCAGGAAACUGGGGCUAAUACCGGAUAGGAGCUCCUGCUGCAUGGUGGGGGUUGGAAAGUUUCGGCGGUUGGGGAUGGACUCGCGGCUUAUCAGCUUGUUGGUGGGGGAGUGGCUUACCAAGGCUUUGACGGGUAGCCGGCCUGAGAGGGUGACCGGCCAGUUUGGGAUUGUGUAGCGGCCAGACCGCCGCGGGGAGGCAUCAGGGGGGAAUGUUGCAAAAGGGCCGGCACCCUGAUGACGCAACGCGCCGUGGGGGAUGACGGCCUUGGGUUUGUAAACCGCUUCGCCCUGUGAAAAAGCGUGGGUGCGGUAAUUGGGAAAAGAGCCACCGCCAACCUCCGUC
rnacentral:rRNA from 1 species